AGUCCAUAUGGAUGGUUCUUUGAACAGCUUCAUACAACAGGAAUGCCAUAAGGAUAUAGACCAGCAGCACACUAAUGAUGGCUGACAAUACUUCUGCAAACAGAAAGCUCAUUCCUGGAUCUGUCAGCUUCACUUUCACCAUAGGAAAUGGAAGAAACUAAAGAUGGAGCAUCACUAUGCUGCUGCUGCUAACACAGAAUGGAUGAGAAGAGAAGGGGCCUCUGGAGUUAGCCCUGUCCAGUGUCCAGCUGAAAGCAGGAUCAACGAGAGCAGACUGCUCCGGGCUGUUGAGUUAGAAGUUUUUCCAGCAAGAGAGACUCCAUGACCUGUCUGGGCAGCCUCAUCUGGUGUCUGACAACAUCCUGACCCUGGGCAGCAGAAAGAGAGGAGGAAUUGCUGCACGAGUGAGAAGUCACCCCCUCUAUUCUCCAGGGAGAAAAUGGUGGGUGAUAACAGAUAUGGACCACCACUGGAUCAAUCUGGUCAGUACUUUCUUUGGCAGUAAAAUGAGGAAAAAAGUUGUGGAUUUUGUUGCUUGUUUGUUUUUUAAAGUGAGGUGGCAGAAAUCCAAAAGGAUUCCUGUUUGCAGAGUACUUAUGGAGAUCCUGAAUUGAUAAGUAAAAAUUUAUAAAACUCAGUAAUAUGUGAUAAAACUUUUUCCUUAAGAACUAUUUCUGUCAUAAGGCCACGUCAUGAUCCUUCUUUGUACUUUCUGGUUUUUGAAGAGUUACAAAUACAAAAACAGCUCAAACUGUUUUAAAAUGAGGUUAGGGUAUGUCUACACACCAGCAAACAUCCUUGUGGAAAGCAGGAACAAAUGCCGGGGCAUACCUGCAAGGUCAGGUUUAUUAGGGGGAACUCUCAGCACAGAAUUAAAACUUCUUGAAAGAAAAGUUUGUAAUGGGAAAUGCUGGCACUGUUAGUGCUUUCUUGCUAAAGCCCAAAGAUCUUUGCUGGUGUACAGUUAUGCAUUCAUGCAUUAGUGACUACCUGAUGACAAAUGACUAGGAGUGAUGGAGCUGUUGAAUUCCACUGCUGUUCUGGCAGCCAUCAUAAGAAUUUAAAGUAAUAGCAGCACAAGAGCUUUAGAUUCCAUGAAAAAAUACAUCCUAUAGAAAGCACAGAGGUAGCAAGCUGUAACAUCCAGAAGGAUCUAUUUCAUUCAAAUUUUUGGGACAAUGCCCACAAGUCAAGACCUUCAUCUGUACAUUGUAGAUUAUUAAUAUCCAGUACAGAUGGCAAACACAGGAAAGCACCCUUUAUCAUCAUUACACUUCCAAAUGUGAAGUAAUGAGUCCUGAAAUUACACUUCCAACACUCAGUACAUAUUUCUGCUAAUACUUGUUUUUACAAAAACCUAAAAUAGGUGCAAGUUAAGUAACCUUCUGUACUGGACAUGAAGGGACAUCUUCAUUUCUUCUUUGUGCAAGAACAGUGAUUUAUGAGACUUCUUGCAGAGCUGAUAUCUGAUCCUGUGCUCUAUGGAACUUCUUACUUCUGGGAGUCAGCACAGGAUUAAUCAUUAAUCACGUUUCGUAGGACUUUGUUUCCAGAUGUAGCAUUUGUACUGUUUUGAUCAGGAGGUUUAUUCCCCUGUGGCAAUACACCCCAUGUUGUGGAUACACAAAAUACAGACUGUUAAACCUAAAGUUACUUUUAGGUUUAUUACUGAUUUCCUUCCAGUUAUCUCUUCUUCUUGAAUUACAUACUUUUAGCAUUAUUGUUUAAAAUACUGUUACUAGCAAAAGCUGAAA